GCAAAACAUAAAUGUGACGCAUUACUUUCCAUGCUAUAAUUAUAAACUGAUGUUUAAUUUGUCCCUCUUGAUUUACCACUACUUUAUCCCAUAUACGUGACCGGACUAUAGUAAAUAAAAUCUAAUGGUAAUGGAAAAGGAAAUUCCAACGACUUCCCCAUAAUUUUUCAUUUUCAAUGUAACAUGAACAACAUCAUGAAUUUGAGCAUCAAUCCGUAAUUUCAACCUGUAUGUAAACUCCCUUUAUUCUUAGAAUCGGAAAACUCCAAUAUACCUUUUUUCUCUAGCUUGUUGGGCAUAGUUUUCAAGUGAUGUGGUUGCAACUUCACUAUAACCAAGUCCCCUUUCUUAAAUGGAACAACACUUUGUUUGGAAUCUUGUAAUUCUAUGUUACCUAAUAACGCAAUAUGAAACAUAGAUGGAAUGGAAUCACAUCCUGCAUUAACAUAGAGUGCUUUGUCAUAUACUCAUAUUUCCGUCACCUUGUAGUCGUAUAGUCUCUUAGUUACAAUUGCAAUGCAUCGUCAAAUCUUUAUAAUUCAAUAAAACUGGACCAAGAUGUUGCAUCCUAAUAUUUCAGAUCAUCUCAACCACAUCAUUAUCCUUCUUAACAUUUUACUUCCUUUCUUUUAAGCAAAUACCCACCUUCCAAAAUUUCACCAAAUAGUAUUCGUAUUUAAUAUAAAAAAUCUUUAUAAUUUUUAAAAAUUUUAACUAAAAAAUUAUAAAAAAAAAGAUUAAUAAUACCCAACUAUUUUUCAUUAAACUAAAAUUUAAAAAAUUAUAUAAACUUAACUAAAAAUUACACCCUAUUCAACUUUACUAAUUUCAAAUCUUCACACUUCAAAGCUGCAGAUUUAGAUCCUUUGGGUGGAUAUAUCAGGUCUUCACAAGAAUCAGAAAGAUUGUUUGGAUACAUGAAUCUGAAAUUGACAGCCAAAACAAAAUGAAACUUAUACUCUUUACCAAAAAAUUGUACAACUUAGUAGUGUUCAUCUAGCCAAAAGAAAUACUACAAGUUUCUCUAAAUAAUAAUCAGAGUAUUCGUACCCUUUUUGUUCUUCUUUUAUACCGAUGGCAAGCCGCAACCUCCAACAUUCGUUCUUCAUUUUCCCCUGUCAAACACCAAAACCCAAAUACCCACACACAACCACAAAAAAAAAAAAAAAAAAAAAAAAAAAAAAAAAAAAAAAANNNNNNNNNNNNNNNNNNNNNNNNNNNNNNNNNNNNNNNNNNNNNNNNNNNNNNNNNNNNNNNNNNNNNNNNNNNNNNNNNNNNNNNNNNNNNNNNNNNNNNNNNNNNNNNNNNNNNNNNNNNNNNNNNNNNNNNNNNNNNNNNNNNNNNNNNNNNNNNNNNNNNNNNNNNNNNNNNNNNNNNNNNNNNNAAAAAAAAAAAAAAAAAAAAAAAAAAAAAAAAAAAAAGAAGAAGAAGAAGAAGAAGCAAAUAAAACACCCUUGAUCGAAUUUCCUGUCUAUUUCAUCAACGUGUUUACGGAUACCAACUCAAAAAAAAUAAAUAAAUAAAUAACAGGAAGGCUACCUAUCACCACCGAUCCCAAAUAGCCCACCCCUCACAACCUCCACUUCUCCUUCGGUCGAGCAAAACCCACCGAAGUGGGUGUUUCCCCGGAGCAAACACGGGAGGCAACAGCCCCCUUUGAUUCCUUAACCUCGUACCUUUCCUUUCCUUCCGAUGACCCUUGCUGCCAAUCCCUACUGAGGCCUACCACGACGUUGCUGCUGACCUAUCCCCUCACGGACUCUCCUUCGGACCUCGUUCUUCAUUCGCGCCUCACAGCUAGACGAGAAAGAGAGAGCUUCGCUGCUUUCGUCUCUUCUCCUCCUUCGGUUCGGCCAGACACCAGAGAAGCCCCCUCGUUCAAUCGAUUACCAACACCGAGACCACCUCCCUUCCGUUUCCGAGCUUCUCUUUCCCCGAAUCUAGCCAAUAUCGGGGGCGUAUGGUCGCUGCCUUCGUGCCUCUUCUUCCCUCUCUUCGUUCGUCUGCUUGUAGUUGUUCUUCCCUUUGCCCGAUCAACAAAAGGAAACGGGCAUAAAAAGCCCUAACUUUUUAUUAAGUUGGACCUUUAAACACAAUUAGUCCCUGGAUGAGAAUCCUUUUCAUAAAAGCGCUAAUCCCUUUUAAAUUCUAUUAAAAAUGACAAAAUGGACCAUUAUCAAAAUAUUUAUUUGAAAUCAAUCGGAAACCCACAAAUAUUGGACCCAUUUUUUCAAAAAAUGCCCCUCCUUGGUUAUUUUUAGCAAAACUUAUAUGAAUAUUCAAAAAUUAAUCCUAUUUGAAUCAUUUUAGUCCCUCCUUUUAUUUAUUUUAACCAAAGCAACCUUAUUUUUGUUAAUUAAAUUACCGAAACGGCCCCCAAUAGUGUAAAUUUAUUAUGAAACGGUCCUAAGAGUAUCUCAAAGUUCAAGAAUGAUGGAUUUGCGGUUUCUCACGACAAGUUUAUCAAAAAAACCGAAUUCAAACAAAUGGAACGCACGCUUCAAGCGUGAGUGCUUACGACCACUUUUUAAUAUUUUUAAUUUUUUGUUUUUGGGGGGGGGGGGGAGUAUGGUGAUACAUGUGCCUAUAUGUUUUGUUUAUACAAAUAUAAUAUCCUUUAUGCGAAAAUACAAUAAAUCUAGUUUUAAAAAAUAUUAUUUACGAUAUUUUUACAAAUAAACUAGCAUAAACUUUUCGUAUACGUGUCCACACACCACAUCUUGCAUGGCACAAAAACAUAGGAUUUUUUUGUGACAUUGUAUAUUAUAACAAGCACCUUAUAAAACUUUAUAGUAUUUUAAGGAUUCAAGCUAUUACUAUUCAUGUAUAUUGAUAUGUUUAAAUACAUAAAGUUUAUACACAAAGUUUAUACACGUACAUAUGUCAUCAUCUAUGGGAUCUAUUUUAGUUAAUGGUGCCCCAAACGGAUGAGUUCUAGUUUCAUCAUGGUUUGCACCAAGGAGACCUCCUCGCCCCCUCUUGAUUUAUCCUCGUCAUGGAAAGUUUACACAUUUUUUACCAAAAAGUUGCUAACAGAGGAUUGUUUAUAGGACUUUUAUGGGAACUGGGAAGUGAUGAUCGGGUUUCCUUUGUCUCCCAUGUCUUAUGCGGACGAUGUUAUCUUCUUUGGCUAUUGGUCUAAGGAAAAUGUUGUGACCAUCAUUAGAAUGCUUCAUUGUUUUUACCUAAUCUCAUAUCUCAAAUUAAUACUCAUAAAAGUCACAUUUUGGUUAUCGGUGUCGAUCAAUCAGUGUUAGAUAAGAUGACCGCUUCAAUUGGUUGUGGGGCUAGCAAGUUCUUGUGUACUUAUUUAGGUCUUCCUAUGGGAAAAUAUGUCUCCGGUGGAAGCUUGGAGUGAUGCUAUUUGUAAAGUUACUUGUAAGCUGUCAAAUUGUAAAGUUAAAUCUCUUUCGGUGGGUGGUAAAUUGACAUUGUUAGAAUCAGUCUUGGGUGCUCUUCCCACUUAUUUUAUUUCUCUUUUAAGGAUCCGGAAGGUGUUCUUAAAAACCUGGAAUCUAUGAGAGAUUCUUUCUUUUUGGGGGCUGAUUUCUAAGAAAAUAAAAUGACAUGGGUAAGUUGGAAGAAGGUGAUGGCGCAGAAGGUUCAUGGUGGUCUUCGGGUGAGCAACCUUUUUGCUUUGAAUCGUGCUUUUAUUUUCAAUGGGUUUGAAUCGUGCUUUUAUUUUCAAAUUUGUUAAACAAAAAUAUGAAUUAUGCAAACUAUUUUAGUACCAUUUGGAUAUAAACAUUGGAUUUCAAGGAAACUACCAUAUUAUAGAUUUUACAAAUUUGACAAAGGUUUUCAUUACAGUAAAACAUGAACAUAUAAACUAUAGUAGUUAUAGUUUAUGAAACCUACACAUUGCUUUCAAGGUUCAGAUUACAAAACAGACAACAAACAUAUAAACUAUAAUGAGUAUAGUUUAUGGACAUUAUGCACUACUGUACAUAUUCAGAGUACAUUAUAGAAAAAAAUAUGUAAACUAUAUUAAAUAUAGUUUAUGAAACAUACUUACAGUUUGUUCAUUACAAGGUAACUUUUCAUUAUUCUACGUGUAAUCAUCAAUAUAGCAUUUGUGAGACACACUUCAAGUACAUAUCUAACAACCAACCAAGUCCUGAAAUUAUAACCAGAGUCUCCUGUAGGGAGAACGUGACACUUGUCUAUAGAGUUAUACGGGACUGACAAUCCUACAACAGAUUUGCCUUCAACAGCUAGGCUGGGUGGCCUAUGGUGAAAAAUGUCAUACCAAUUGUGACGCCUGAAGAACGUCGUGUUCAGGCCAUCUUAGGUCAUCAAGCAUGGUUAUAAUAACUCACAAUUUGGUAUUGAACAAAUUGAUUAGUGUUUGAAUAAGUAAACAACUUCACAUAGUUUUAUUUAAUAAUAAAGCUAUAAUACACUAGAUGAUUACAAACACAUGGUUUGCAUACAAGUACAAAUACAGAAUACUAUUUUAGUACUGAGAAAACAUACUUUUCGUGGUUUUAUGUGAACUAAACUACAUUUUACUACUUCAUAGUACAAUAACAUUCACACGUUUUGCUUACAACAUACUACAAGAGAAAAUAUAGGAUUUUCUCGGAAAAACAUAUUUACAUUAUCAAGGAACAAGAAAACACAUUUCAGUUACUAACAUGCUUAUGAACUCAUCGCCUUAAUUAUUGAUACUCUUUUCAAAACUACUUGUAUUCUUAAGAAAUCAAUAAACAUGUAGCCACAUGUUUUGAGAAUACAGAGCUUUAUAGACUCAUGUCUUUUAACUUGUACUUUUUUGUGUUAAUAUACAAUGAUUUGAACACAGAUGUAAACCUUAUACUUUGUUAAUAGAACGGUUGUUGUACUUUGAUUACUAUUAUCCAUUGUUGCGAUACUGUACAUGAUGUCCUCCGCCCCUAAUGUUUCCACCGUUCCGGAUUAGAAGUGUGACAUGUUCAAUGAAUGAGCUACACACCCAUACUUUAUUGACACACAGAUGAAUCAAUAUCCAAAACUGAAACACGAAUUUAGAUUUCAAAUUCACCUACCUCCAUCAUUGCUUUUUCAAAUUCCUGAUAAUUUAUAUCACUACUUAAACUUCUUCUUUCAUAAAUGUUGGAGGCAUGAUAUAGCAUGUAUGAUAGGAAUCGUUUGUCAAUUUAGAAAACAGAAGAGGUGAGAAAGAGAAAGACUCAAAGUACAAGAUAGAAAAAGAAUGAAUGAAUCACAUUAAGUUGGUAAAUUGGUUACUUUAACAAAUUCUCUCUUCCAACUGAAUUUUCCUUGUCUGAUGUGUCAUUUUCUUAACUUGUACCAAUAUUCUCAUUCCAUCUUAACGUUGUCCUAAAGGUUGAAAUCAUAAUAAAUUUUUAAGAAGCAUUCUACAUCUUCCCAUGUAGCAAAACAUAAAUGUGACGCAUUCCUUUCCAUGCUAUAAUUAUAAACUGAUGUUUAAUUUGUCCCUCUUGAUUUACCACUACUUUAUCCCAUAUACGUGACCGGACUAUAGUAAAUAAAAUCUAAUGGUAAUGGAAAAGAAAAUUCCAACGACUUCCCCAUAAUUUUUCAUUUUCAAUGUAACAUGAACAACAUCAUGAAUUUAAGCAUCAAUCCGUAAUUUCAACCUGUAUGUAAACUCCCUUUAUUUUUAGAAUCGGAAAACUCCAAUAUACCUUUUUUCUCUAGCUUG
rnacentral:lncRNA from 1 species